CUAGUACUCCCUUCAUUCCAAAUUACUCGUCGCAGAAAUGAAUGUAUCUAAAACUAAAAUACAUCUAGAUAUAUAUCCAUACCUGCGACAAGUAAUUCGGAACGGAGGGAGUAGGAU
rfam:Triticum urartu cultivar G1812 contig426967, whole genome shotgun sequence.